rnacentral:rRNA from 1 species
GUGGGGAAUAUUGGGCAAUGGGCGCAAGCCUGACCCAGCAACGCCGCGUGAGGGAAGAAGGCUUUCGGGUUGUAAACCUCUGUCCUUGGUGACGAAAAAAAAUGACGGUAGCCAAGGAGGAAGCCCCGGCUAACUACGUGCCAGCAGCCGCGGUAAUACGUAGGGGGCGAGCGUUGUCCGGAAUUACUGGGCGUAAAGGGUGCGUAGGUGGCCUUUUAAGUUGGAUGUGAAAUACCCGGGCUUAACUUGGGGGGUGCAUCCAAAACUGGGAGGCUAGAGUGCAGGAGAGGAAAGCGGAAUUCCUAGUGUAGCGGUGAAAUGCGUAGAUAUUAGGAGGAACACCAGUGGCGAAGGCGGCUUUCUGGACGAAAACUGACGCUGAGGCGCGAAAGCCAGGGGAGCGAACGGGAUUAGAUACCCGAGUAGUCC